ensembl:lncRNA
GGUAUUGGCAACGUCAGACUCAUGCUCUUUUCACACUACUUGUGUUUUUUUAGGUCAAGAUUUUGUGAAGUGUGCUUUAUCCUGGUCAGGUGCAGUGGAUCUGGAGCCUCUCCUAGGAACACUGGAGACGAGGUGGUAAUACACCCUGGAAGUGAUGCCACUCUGUCGUUCACUAGAUGUAUGCAUCGGGACUGGGAUCUCACAGGAUUCACCAGGAGGGAAACUUAAAUAUGUUAUGUAGCUUCUGAAGGGCGGUACUAAAUGAAAUAAAUUAAGAUCUUUAAACAAAAUAAUAAUAAUUCACACCAAUUAUCCUGUUCAAUUUUUUUUGUUGAGCUUUUGAACGUUUGCACCUUUUGUAACAGUUGUGUCCCUCAGUUGUCCUCAGUGUGAAAAGAUGGAUCUGAUCAUCAUAUAGUCGCUGUUGGAAAGUGUUCAGAUAUGUAGAAGAUGCUGGAAAAUGAAAGAAUGUGCAGGACCUGGAGGAUUUCUCUGAAGAACACUAUAAAGCACCUAUAAAGCAC